UUGAUGAGAUAUUCCUGAAGACCGACCUGGACCUGGAUGGCUACGUGAGUGGCCAGGAGGUGAAGGAGAUCUUCAUGCACUCGGGCCUCACCCAGAACCUUCUAGCACACAUAUGGGCCCUGGCCGAUACGAGGCAAACGGGGAAGUUAAGCAAAGACCAAUUCGCGUUAGCUAUGUAUUUCAUUCAGCAGAAGGUCAGUAAAGGCAUCGACCCUCCUCAAGUCCUCUCGCCGGACAUGGUCCCGCCUUCGGAGAGAGGCACGCCCGGCCCGGACAGUUCAGGCUCUCUCGGCUCCGGGGAGUUUACUGGCGUGAAGGAGCUUGAUGACAUCAGUCAAGAGAUCGCCCAGUUACAAAGGUAUGUUGGAAACGGCCCUUCCCUCCACAUCCAGACGUUACACGAACUCUCCCAGGUUGUUAUCGGAAAUAUCAGAGGCUCACCUGGAAGUUUGCUCAUCACAGGUUUAUUCA
rnacentral:sRNA from 1 species